UAGAGACCUGUGGGUUGCCAUGCCUAAUUGGCAAUGGCACAGCCAACCACCGGAGGCGCACCCACCUAUAAAAUGGGCGAUCCCUCCCUGCCAGUUCUCUCUCUCGCUGCUUCCGACGGGUGACGUCAUUUCCGAGCCGGACGUUUUGCUUCGGACAGAGUGGCUGACUUGGUGCUUCCCAGGCUCGUGUGCGUGUCACCUAAAUGGCCUGCUGUGGUGGACGCCGGUAGCUGCGCGUUACCCUCUCCCUCUUCCUCUGGUCUGUGUGUCAUACUGGUCGACCUGCUAACUGAUCCCUCUGCUAAUGGUGCGUGAGCGACGUCUGCCAAUGGUGCGUGAGUGACGUCAGCACCAGCUGACCGGGUUUGCGGCCAGGGUUUAAAGCGACACAUCACCACCAGCUACGGGGGACCGCUGCUGCUUUUUCUGUUUUUGCUUUCUGCUUUUCGCUGCUGCUUUUCAUUUUGUCGCUUUUUCUUUGUUUUUCUUUUUGUUGCUUUUUGCUGCUUCUUUUGCGGCUGCUUUUGGAUCGCUGCUUUUCACCGCGGCUGCUUAGCUUUUUGUUUAAUUUCCUUUUUUUUGCUUUACUUUUUGUCCUGUUUUGCUUUAACCUGUUUGUCUACUCGUUUUGGUUGACCUGCCUGCGUUGUACGCCUUGGUAUUACGUUUUACCGACCAUUUAAUUAACUCAAUUUUAACGAAGUUCGACUGAGGAGUGGGGUUAAACCCUUUUGUGGUGGAUUGGUUUUGUUUUCUUGGUUACUGUAUUCAGUUCCCUCUGCCUGUCUGAUUUCCCUAAUUGCUUUGGCUUUAAUAUUCUGUUUGGGCAGAGGAUUAAUUCUUUUUUUCAGUAUUUGUCUUUUCUUUAUUUGGCGGUUGGCAGUUUGUAUUUUUUAGUUUAUGAUUUAUAUUGCCUGCCAAUGGCCUGUUUUGUUUAGGAUAUUUCUGUUUAUUGAAUUGUGUUGGUGUGACCCCACUAAUUUCCCCUUUGUUUCCAUUUUAGUUGCUGAGGUCCGGUGGUGGUGACCUGGUGGCGGGGUUCCCCCCCCUUUUCGUGUGCUGUGCUCCCCUGGGUUCUGGGUCUCCUCACUGUGCGUGUGUGACUGUCACGAGUGUCUGGGUGCUUAUAUUUUUGGUUGGGGUGUCUCCACACUAUCAAUAGCCUCUUCACCCCGGUAAGCCUCGGCCCUAGUUUAGUCCCCCAUUUAUUUGCCCCUGUCUGACUGGUGUUUUAUUGUGUUAAAUUGUCUUUUUGUAAUAAAGCAUAUGCCUUUUUAAAAACAA